rnacentral:rRNA from 1 species
AUUGAACGCUGGCGGCAUGCCUUACACAUGCAAGUCGAACGGCAGCGCGGGAGCAAUCCUGGCGGCGAGUGGCGAACGGGUGAGUAAUACAUCGGAACGUGCCCACUCGUGGGGGAUAACGCAGCGAAAGCUGUGCUAAUACCGCAUACGAUCUACGGAUGAAAGCAGGGGAUCGCAAGACCUUGCGCGCAUGGAGCGGCCGAUGGCCGAUUAGGUAGUUGGUGAGGUAAGGGCUCACCAAGCCUUCGAUCUGUAGCUGGUCUGAGAGGACGACAAGCCACACUGGGACUGAGACACGGCCCAGACUCCUACGGGAGGCAGCAGUGGGGAAUUUUGGACAAUGGGCGAAAGCCUGAUCCAGCCAUGCCGCGUGCAGGAUGAAGGCCUUCGGGUUGUAAACUGCUUUUGUACGGAACGAAACGGUCUUUUCUAAUAAAGAAGGCUAAUGACGGUACCGGAAGAAUAAGCACCGGCUAACUACGUG